rnacentral:piRNA from 1 species
UAGCAACAUAGCAUGCUACAGAUGAAG